rnacentral:rRNA from 1 species
AGAGUUUGAUCCUGGCUCAGAUUGAACGCUGGUUAACACAGUCGUACGAAGGAGCUUGCUCCUUAGUGGCGAACGGGUGAGUAAUACAUAAAUAAUCUGCCCCAACGACUGGGAUAACUAUUGGAAACGAUAGCUAAUACCGGAUAGGUGAUCGGAAGACAUCUUCUGAUCAUUAAAGGUGCGUUCGCACGAUGGGAUGAGUUUAUGGCGCAUUAGUUAGUUGGCGGGGUAACGGCCCACCAAGACGAUGAUGCGUAGCCGAUCUGAGAGGAUGACCGGCCACACUGGGACUGAGACACGGCCCAGACUCCUACGGGAGGCAGCAGUAGGGAAUUUUCGGCAAUGGGCGAAAGCCUGACCGAGCAACGCCGCGUGAGUGAUGAAGGCCUUCGGGUUGUAAAGCUCUGUUGUAGAGGAAGAAAUGCCAGGAUAGGAAAUGAUCUUGGCUUGACGGUACUCUGCCAGAAAGCAACGGCUAACUACGUGCCAGCAGCCGCGGUAAUACGUAGGUUGCAAGCGUUAUCCGGAAUUAUUGGGCGUAAAGGGUGCGUAGGCGGUUACGUGUGUCUAAGGUGAAAUUCCAGGGCUUAACUCUGGACUGCCUUAGAAACUGCGUGACUAGAGUGCAGGAGAGGGCAACGGAAUUCCAUGUGUAGCGGUAAAAUGCGUAGAUAUAUGGAGGAACACCGGUGGCGAAGGCGGUUGCCUGGCCUGUAACUGACGCUGAGGCACGAAAGCGUGGGGAGCAAAUAGGAUUAGAUACCCUAGUAGUCCACGCUGUAAACGAUGAAUGCUAAGUGUUGGAGUAAAAUUCAGUGCUGCAGUUAACGCAAUAAGCAUUCCGCCUGGGGAGUACGCACGCAAGUGUGAAACUCAAAGGAAUUGACGGGACCCCGCACAAGCGGUGGAUUAUGUUGUUUAUUCGACGCAACGCGAGA